rnacentral:rRNA from 1 species
GACGAACGCUGGCGGCGUGCCUAAUACAUGCAAGUAGAACGCAGUUGCGAACGGGUGAGGAACGCGUAGGUAACUGCCUCAUAGCGGGGGAUAACUAUUGGAAACGAUAGCUAAUACCGCAUACUGUUAGAUGGACCUGCGUUGUAUUAGAUAGUUGGUGAGGGAACGGUUCACCAAGGCGACGAUAAAUAGCCGACCUGAGAGGGUGAGCGGCCACACUGGGACGGAGACACGGCCCAGACGCCUACGGGAGGCAGCAGUAGGGACGCCGCGGAAAUGGACGGAAGUCUGACCGAGCAACGCCGCGUGAGUGAAGAAGGUUUUCGGAUCGUAAAGCUCUGUUGUUAGAGAAGCGGUAACUACCCAGAAAGGGACGGCUAACUACGUGCCAGCAGCCGCGGUAAUAC